CAUCUUGUCCGUCUUAGCUAUACAUUACAUCCAUGGCGGCAAAGAUGGCGCAGAACGUGGACAAGCCGCUCUUCACCGCGGCGUUCAACGUGAAGCCAAAUGAAGAAGACAAUGCAUGUACCGCCUCACGUGUGUACUGGCCGUAAUUUAGAUGAUCAGGUUCUUUAUGGUGAGACCGUUCUAUCGAGUUUCAAGUCCUAGACUUGGCUGGUAGUAGCAUUUUACUGAAUUUAUUUCAGGCUAUCGACGACGUUCCUUCAGUGGGAUGAAACGCUCCUGUCAACUACGAAACGUCGAUGAUGAUUUCGCCAACAUCAAGAUGUGAUACCAAUUUAGUAUCUUAGAGAUGCUAAUAAAGAUAGAGUGUAU
rnacentral:lncRNA from 1 species